GACGAACGCUGGCGGCGUGCCUAAUACAUGCAAGUAGAACGCACAGUUUAUACCGUAGCUUGCUACACCAUAAACUGUGAGUUGCGAACGGGUGAGUAACGCGUAGGUAACCUGCCUGGUAGCGGGGGAUAACUAUUGGAAACGAUAGCUAAUACCGCAUAAUAUUAAUUAUUGCAGGAUAAUUGAUUGAAAGAUGCAAUUGCAUCACUACCAGAUGGACCUGCGUUGUAUUAGCUAGUAGGUGAGGUAAGGGCUCACCUAGGCGAGGAUACAUAGCCGACCUGAGAGGGUGAUCGGCCACACUGGGACUGAGACACGGCCCAGACUCCUACGGGAGGCAGCAGUAGGGAAUCUUCGGCAAUGGACGAAAGUCUGACCGAGCAACGCCGCGUGAGUGAAGAAGGUUUUCGGAUCGUAAAGCUCUGUUGUAAGAGAAGAACGGGUGUGAGAGUGGAAAGUUCACACUGUGACGGUAUCUUACCAGAAAGGGACGGCUAACUACGUG
rnacentral:rRNA from 1 species